CCUACGGGCGGCAGCAGUAGGGAAUCUUUCACAAUGGGCGAAAGCCUGAUGGAGCAACGCCGCGUGCAGGAUGAAGGCCUUCGGGUUGUAAACUGCUUUUAUAAGCGAGAAAUAUGAUGGUAACUUAUGAAUAAGGAUCGGCUAACUACGUGCCAGCAGCCGCGGUCAUACGUAGGAUCCGAGCAUUAUCCGGAGUGACUGGGUGUAAAGAGUUGCGUAGGUGGCAUAAUAAGUAGCUAGUGAAAUCUGGUGGCUCAACCAUUCAGACUAUUAGCUAAACUGUUAAGCUCGAGACCGUUAGGGGUAACUGGAAGUUCUAGUGUAGGAGUGAAAUCCGUAGAGAUUAGAAGGAACACCAAUAGCGUAGGCAGGUUGCUGGGACGGUUCUGACACUAAGGCACGAAAGCGUAGGGAGCAAACGGGAUUAGAUACCCCAGUAGUC
rnacentral:rRNA from 1 species